AUGUGCUUCAACUACAGGAUCCGCGUGCUCUGCUGCGACGACGUGCGGCACUGUCCCAGCACGGCCAGCCCCGGCCCCUCCUCCCCCACGCUGUCUGCCCACAGCCCCGCCACCCUCACCGGCUCCACGACGACGCGGCCGGGGACCUCCACCUCCGCCACGAGCCCCACCAGACCCACCGCCUCUGAGGCCCUGGCCACGAGCACCAAGCCCGCUUCGACCAGUGUCCCCCCGUCGGCCCCUCUGGUGACCUCCCAAACACACACAACCCCUGGGGUGUUAUCCCCCACCGCAGUGACGGGCCCCCCCUCCGCUGGCACCACCCAGAGGGUGUCUACCCCUUCCCCUGUGACAGGCUCCUCCUCCCCAGGGACCACCCACGGGGUCACCACCCCCACCGCUGUGACAGGUGCCCCCUCCCCAGGGACCACCGCGUCGGUCUCCACCCCCACCGGUGUGACAGGUGCCCCCUCCACGGCGACCACCCAGAGGGUCACGUCUCCCACCACUGUGACAGGUGCCCCCUCCCCAGGGACCACCGAAUCAGUCUCCACGACCACCGGCGUGACAGGUGCCCCCUCCACGGCGACCACCCAGAGGGUCACGACUCCCACCACUGUGACAGGUGCCCCCUCCACUGCGACCACCCAGAGGGUCACGACUCCCACCACUGCGACGGGUGCCCCCUCCACGGCGACCACCCAGAGUGUCACGACUCCCACCACUGUGACAGGUGCCCCCUCCACUGCGACCACCCAGAGGGUCACGACUCCCACCACUGCGACAGGUGCCCCUCCACGGCGACCACCCAGAGGUCACGACUCCACCACUGUGAUGGGUGCCCCCUCCACUGCGACCCCCCAGAGUGUCACCACCCCCACCACUGCGACAGGUGCCCCCUCCACGGCGACCACCCAGAGGGUCACGACUCCCACCACUGUGAUGGGUGCCCCCUCCACUGCGACCCCCAGAGUGUCACCACCCCCACCACUGUGACAGGUCCCUCCUCUCCAGGGUCCACCGAGUCGGUCUCCACCCACACCACUGUGACAGGUCCCCCCUCCCCUGGUACCACACGGAGCGUCACCACCCCCAGCAGUGUGACCCGUCUCCUGUCAACUGGGACCACCCGGACAUUUGCUGUUCUCAUUCCCUCCACCUUCCCAGGGUCCCUGUCCACGACCCUCAAACCAGGCUUGCCCAGUGUAUCGCCCACUAGUUUGCUCUCGACCCCCUCCCUGCGGACCCGUCCUGCCUCCCCAGGCACUGUGCCCUCCUCUUCUCCGGAGACUGCCAGCAGCCUGACCCCCUUCUCGGUGCCCACCGUCUCCCCCGGAUCGCCUGGCCCCACCACGCCCUCCUGCCUCUGCCGCGCCUACGGAGAGUUCUUCCGACCCGGUGCGUGAGCAGCCUGGCCCCUCCUCCACACCCAGCCCCGACACUGGAUUCCGGCGGGCAGUGUCCCGGGGCCAGGGUCCUUGACCUGCGCUGGUUUGCCCUCCUGGCCCCCUGCCCCGCUGACCUGUGUGUCUCUGGCUUUGUAGGCGACGUCGUGUACAACAAGACCGACGGCGCGGGCUGCCAGUUCUUAGCUGUCUGCAACGAGCACUGUGACAUCGACCGCCUCCAGGGCACCUGCCCCACCUCCGCACCCCCCGAGUCCUCGCCCCCCGCUC
rnacentral:lncRNA from 1 species